rnacentral:rRNA from 1 species
CUACCAUUAAGUUGAGCACUCUAAUGAGACUGCCUGGGUAACCAGGAGGAAGGUGGGGAUGACGUCAAAUCAUCAUGCCCCUUAUGUCCAGGGCUACACACGUGCUACAAUGGUAGGUACAAUAAGAUGCGAGACCGUGAGGUGGAGCAAAACUUAUAAAACCUAUCUCAGUUCGGAUUGUAGGCUGCAACUCGCCUACAUGAAGCUGGAGUUGCUAGUAAUCGCGAAUCAGAAUGUCGCGGUGAAUACGUUCCCGGGCCUUGUACACACCGCCCGUCACACCAUGAGAGCUGGUAACACCCGAAGUCCGUGAGGUAACCGUAAGGAGCCAGCGGCCGAAGGUGGGAUUAGUGAUUGGGGUGAAGUCGUAACAAGGUAGCCGUAGGAGAACCUGCGGCUGGAUCACCUCCUUUCUAAGGA